UACGUAGGGGCCGAGCGUUGUCCGGAGUUAUUGGGCGUAAAGCGCGCGCAGGCGGCUUCGCGCGUCCGACGUGAAAGCCCCGGCUUAACCGGGGAGGGUCGUUUGGGUACGGCGGAGCUUGAGGGCGGGAGAGGGUGGUGGAAUUCCCGGUGUAGUGGUGAAAUGCGUAGAGAUCGGGAGGAACACCUGUGGCGAAGGCGGCCACCUGGGCCGACCCU
rnacentral:rRNA from 1 species